rnacentral:misc_RNA from 1 species
CUGAGUACUAUACUCUCUACCCUUUGUGAACUAUUAUACCUGUUGCUUCGGCGGCGCCCGCGAGGGUGCCCGCCGGUCUCAUCAGAAUCUCUGUUUUCGAACCCGACGAUACUUCUGAGUGUUCUUAGCGAACUGUCA